rnacentral:rRNA from 1 species
CCUUCGGGCCUCUCGCGUCAGGAUAUGCCUAGGUGGGAUUAGCUAGUUGGUGAGGUAAGGGCUCACCAAGGCGACGAUCCCUAGCUGGUCUGAGAGGAUGAUCAGCCACACUGGAACUGAGACACGGUCCAGACUCCUACGGGAGGCAGCAGUGGGGAAUAUUGCACAAUGGGCGCAAGCCUGAUGCAGCCAUGCCGCGUGUGUGAAGAAGGCCUUCGGGUUGUAAAGCACUUUCAGUCGUGAGGAAGGUAGUGUAGUUAAUAGCUGCAUUAUUUGACGUUAGCGACAGAAGAAGCACCGGCUAACUCCGUGCCAGCAGCCGCGGUAAUACGGAGGGUGCGAGCGUUAAUCGGAAUUACUGGGCGUAAAGCGCAUGCAGGUGGUUUGUUAAGUCAGAUGUGAAAGCCCGGGGCUCAACCUCGGAAUUGCAUUUGAAACUGGCAGACUAGAGUACUGUAGAGGGGGGUAGAAUUUCAGGUGUAGCGGUGAAAUGCGUAGAGAUCUGAAGGAAUACCGGUGGCGAAGGCGGCCCCCUGGACAGAUACUGACACUCAGAUGCGAAAGCGUGGGGAGCAAACAGGAUUAGAUACCCUGGUAGUCCACGCCGUAAACGAUGUCUACUUGGAGGUUGUGGCCUUGAGCCGUGGCUUUCGGAGCUAACGCGUUAAGUAGACCGCCUGGGGAGUACGGUCGCAAGAUUAAAACUCAAAUGAAUUGACGGGGGCCCGCACAAGCGGUGGAGCAUGUGGUUUAAUUCGAUGCAACGCGAAGAACCUUACCUACUCUUGACAUCCAGAGAACUUUCCAGAGAUGGAUUGGUGCCUUCGGGAACUCUGAGACAGGUGCUGCAUGGCUGUCGUCAGCUCGUGUUGUGAAAUGUUGGGUUAAGUCCCGCAACGAGCGCAACCCUUAUCCUUGUUUGCCAGCGAGUAAUGUCGGGAACUCCAGGGAGACUGCCGGUGAUAAACCGGAGGAAGGUGGGGACGACGUCAAGUCAUCAUGGCCCUUACGAGUAGGGCUACACACGUGCUACAAUGGCGCAUACAGAGGGCAGCCAACUUGCGAAAGUGAGCGAAUCCCAAAAAGUGCGUCGUAGUCCGGAUUGGAGUCUGCAACUCGACUCCAUGAAGUCGGAAUCGCUAGUAAUCGUGGAUCAGAAUGCCACGGUGAAUACGUUCCCGGGCCUUGUACACACCGCCCGUCACACCAUGGGAGUGGGCUGCAAAAGAAGUAGGUAGUUUAACCUUCGGGGGGACGCUUACCACUUUGUGGUUCAUGACUGGGGUGAAGUCGUAACAAGGUAGCGCUAGGGGAACCUGGCGCUGGAUCACCUCCUUAAACGAUGAU